UAGGGAAUCUUCCACAAUGGACGCAAGUCUGAUGGAGCAACGCCGCGUGAGUGAAGAAGGUUUUCGGAUCGUAAAGCUCUGUUGUUGGUGAAGAAGGAUAGAGGCAGUAACUGGUCUUUAUUUGACGGUAAUCAACCAGAAAGUCACGGCUAACUACGUGCCAGCAGCCGCGGUAAUACGUAGGUGGCAAGCGUUGUCCUAAUUUAUUGGGCGUAAAGCGAGCGCAGGCGGAAUGAUAAGUCUGAUGUGAAAGCCCACGGCUCAACCGUGGAACUGCAUCGGAAACUGUCAUUCUUGAGUGCAGAAGAGGAGAGUGGAAUUCCAUGUGUAGCGGUGGAAUGCGUAGAUAUAUGGAAGAACACCAGUGGCGAAGGCGGCUCUCUGGUCUGCAACUGACGCUGAGGCUCGAAAGCAUGGGUAGCGAACAGG
rnacentral:rRNA from 1 species